rnacentral:rRNA from 1 species
GACAUAGGUGGCGAGCGUUAUUCGGAAUUACUGGGCGUAAAGCGCGUGUAGGCGGAUAUAUAAGUCAGAUGUGAAAUCCCUGGGCUCAACCCAGGAACUGCAUUUGAAACUGCAUAUCUGGAGUGUCGGAGAGGAAAGCGGAAUUCCUGGUGUAGAGGUGAAAUUCGUAGAUAUCAGGAGGAACACCGGUGGCGAAGGCGGCUUUCUGGACGAUUACUGACGCUGAGACGCGAAAGCGUGGGGAGCAAACAGG